UCCCUGGUGGUUGAGUAGUUAGGAGGCACAGUGCUUUCACCACUGUGGCCUGGGUUCAAUCUCUGGUCUGGGAA
rnacentral:tRNA from 1 species